rnacentral:rRNA from 1 species
AACGAACGCUGGCGGCAUGCCUAACACAUGCAAGUCGAACGAGACCUUCGGGUCUAGUGGCGCACGGGUGCGUAACGCGUGGGAACCUGCCCUUAGGUUCGGAAUAACUCCCCGAAAGGGGUGCUAAUACCGGAUAAUGUCUUCGGACCAAAGAUUUAUCGCCUUUGGAUGGGCCCGCGUUGGAUUAGCUAGUUGGUAGGGUAAAAGCCUACCAAGGCGACGAUCCAUAGCUGGUCUGAGAGGAUGAUCAGCCACACUGGGACUGAGACACGGCCCAGACUCCUACGGGAGGCAGCAGUGGGGAAUAUUGGACAAGGGGCGAAAGCCUGAUACAGCAAUGCCGCGUGAGUGAUGAAGGCCUUAGGGUUGUAAAGCUCUUUUACCCGGGAUGAUAAUGACAGGACCGGGAGAAUAAGCUCCGGCUAACCCCGUG